rnacentral:ncRNA from 1 species
GGACUCUGGAGAAUCCCAUUGAGUUGGGUGCCGAAGGUGUAAGGCCCGUGCGCGGGCUGAAUCUCUCAGGCCAAAGGACAGAGACGG